UACGUAGGGCGCAAGCGUUGUCCGGAAUUAUUGGGCGUAAAGAGCUUGUAGGCGGUUUGUCGCGUCUGCUGUGAAAAUCCGAGGCUCAACCUCGGACUUGCAGUGGGUACGGGCAGACUAGAGUGUGGUAGGGGAGACUGGAAUUCCUGGUGUAGCGGUGAAAUGCGCAGAUAUCAGGAGGAACACCGAUGGCGAAGGCAGGUCUCUGGGCCACUACUGACGCUGAGAAGCGAAAAGCAUGGGGGAGCGAACAGG
rnacentral:rRNA from 1 species